AUGGCCUGGACUUCUCUCCUGAUCACACUUCUGGCUCACUGCACAGGGGCUAUUUCCCAGUUUGCUGUGAUUCAGGAAUCUUCACUCACCACAACUCCUGGAGGGACAGUCACACUCACCUGUGGUUCAAGCACCGGGGCAGUUACCACCAAUAACUAUGCCAACUGGGUCCAAGAAAAAUCUCAAGAAGUACACACUGGUCUGAUAGGUGGCACCAGUAACAGAGUCCCAGGUGUUCAUGCCCGAUUCUCAGGCUCCCUGCUUGGAGACAAGGCUGCCCUCACCAUCACAGGGGCCCAGCCUGAGGAUGAGGCUGUGUAUUACUGUGCUCUGUGGCACAGUGACCAUUUCCACAAUGGCACAUGCAGAUGUGGAAGUAGAACAGAAACACACUGA